rnacentral:rRNA from 1 species
AGAGUUUGAUCCUGGCUCAGAACGAACGCUGGCGGCAUGCCUACACAUGCAAGUCGAACUGGGUAACGGGGGCAAGCCUUCGGGUGAGUGGCGGACGGGUGAGUAACGCGUGGGUAACCUGCCUAUCAGUACGGAAUAACAAGGGAAACUCUGGCUAAUACCGUAUACGUCCUUCGGGAGAAAGAUUUAGACUCGCAUGAGCGCUGAUAGAUGGGCCCGCGUCCGAUUAGCUUGUUGGCGGUGUAAUGGACCACCAAGGCGACGAUCGGUAGCUGGUCUUAGAGGAUGAUCAGCCACACUGGGACUGAGACACGGCCCAGACUCCUACGGGAGGCAGCAGUGGGGAAUAUUGGACAAUGGGCGAAAGCCUGAUCCAGCAAUGCCGCGUGAGUGAUGAAGGCCUUAGGGUUGUAAAGCUCUUUUACCAGGGAAGAUGAUGAUGACUGUACCUGGAGAAUAAGCCCCGGUGCGUAACUACGUGCCAGCAACGUCGGUAAGACGGAGGCGAUACCGAUGAUCGGAACUACUGGCUGUAAAGCAUCAGUAGACGGCUGUCCAAGGACGGUCUAAAGCCACCGGUGCUGCAACCCGGGAACUUGUGAAGCGCGUGGCAUACU